rnacentral:rRNA from 1 species
AAUCUUCCACAAUGGGCGAAAGCCUGAUGGAGCGACACCGCGUGAGGGACGAAGUUCUAACGAAUGUAAACCUCUUUUGUGUGGGAGCAAAUUAUUGAGUCAACCAUACGAAUAAGCACCGGCUAAUCUCGUGCCAGCAGCCGCGGUAAUACGAGAGGUGCAAGCGUUAUCCGGAAUCACUGGGCGUAAAGCGUCCGCAGCCGGAUGGUUAAGUCUGGAGUAAAAUUUGGGAGCCCAACUCCCAAAGCGUUCCGGAAACUAGCUAUCUAGAGUAGUACAGGGGUGCGUGGAAUUCCUAUUGUAGGGGUAAAUCCGUAGAUAAUAGGAGGAACACCAAACGCGAAAGGCAGCGCACUGGGUACUUACUGACGGUCAGGGACGAAAGCGU